rnacentral:rRNA from 1 species
GACGAACGCUGGCGGCGUGCUUAACACAUGCAAGUCGAACGGAAAGGCCCUGCUUUUGUGGGGUGCUCGAGUGGCGAACGGGUGAGUAACACGUGAGUAACCUGCCCUUGACUUUGGGAUAACUUCAGGAAACUGGGGCUAAUACCGGAUAGGAGCUCCUGCUGCAUGGUGGGGGUUGGAAAGUUUCGGCGGUUGGGGAUGGACUCGCGGCUUAUCAGCUUGUUGGUGGGGUAGUGGCUCCAAGGCUUUGACGGGUAGCCGGCCUGAGAGGGUGACCGGCCACAUUGGGACUGAGAUACGGCCCAGACUCCUACGGGAGGCAGCAGUGGGGAAUAUUGCACAAUGGGCGGAAGCCUGAUGCAGCAACGCCGCGUGCGGGAUGACGGCCUUCGGGUUGUAAACCGCUUUCGCCUGUGACGAAGCGUGAGUGACGGUAAUGGGUAAAGAAGCACCGGCUAACUACGUG